GAUGAACGCUAGCUACAGGCUUAACACAUGCAAGUCGAGGGGAAACGAUAUUGGAAGCUUGCUUCCGAUAGGCGUCGACCGGCGCACGGGUGAGUAACGCGUAUCCAACCUGCCCACCACUUGGGGAUAACCUUGCGAAAGUAAGACUAAUACCCAAUGAUAUCUCUAGAAGACAUCUGAAAGAGAUUAAAGAUUUAUCGGUGAUGGAUGGGGAUGCGUCUGAUUAGCUUGUUGGCGGGGUAACGGCCCA
rnacentral:rRNA from 1 species